AUUGAACGCUGGCGGCAGGCUUAACACAUGCAAGUCGAGCGGAGAGAGGUAGCUUGCUACUGAUCUUAGCGGCGGACGGGUGAGUGAUGCUUAGGAAUCUGCCUAUUAGUGGGGGACAACAUUUCGAAAGGAAUGCUAAUACCGCAUACGUCCUACGGGAGAAAGCAGGGGAUCUUUGGACCUUGCGCUAAUAGAUGAGCCUAAGUCGGAUUAGCUAGUUGGUGGGGUAAAGGCCUACCAAGGCGACGAUCUGUAGCGGGUCUGAGAGGAUGAUCCGCCACACUGGGACUGAGACACGGCCCAGACUCCUACGGGAGGCAGCAGUGGGGAAUAUUGGACAAUGGGCGCAAGCCUGAUCCAGCCAUGCCGCGUGUGUGAAGAAGGCCUUAUGGUUGUAAAGCACUUUAAACGAGGAGGAGGCUACUUUAGUUAAUACCUAGAGAUAGUGGACGUUACUCGCAGAAUAAGCACCGGCUAACUCUGUGCCAGCCGCCGCCGUAA
rnacentral:rRNA from 1 species